AUGGAGUGGAGCUGGAUCACCCUCUUCCUCAUGUCACUAACUACAGGUGUCCACUCCCAGGUACAGCUGCAGCAGUCUGGGCCUGAGCUUGUGAGGCCUGGGAACUCAGUGAAAGUAUCCUGCAGGACCUCUGGCUUUACCUUCACUGAUUACUAUAUUGACUGGGUGAAGCAGAAACAUGGUCAGGGCCUAGAGUGGAUUGCAAUGAUUGAUCCUGAAAAUGGUAAUACUAAAUACAAUCAGAAGUUCCAGAGCAAGGCCACACUGACUGCAGACACAUCCUCCAGCACAGCCUACAUGGAGCUGAGAAGCCUGGCAUCUGAAGACUCUGCAGUGUAUUACUGUGCAAGGCACAGUGUUGCAACCACAUCCUGA